rnacentral:rRNA from 1 species
UGGGGAAUAUUGGACAAUGGGCGCAAGCCUGAUCCAGCCAUGCCGCGUGUGUGAAGAAGGCCUUCGGGUUGUAAAGCACUUUCAGCGAGGAGGAAGGGAUGUAUGUUAAUAGCAUGCAUUUUUGACGUUACUCGCAGAAGAAGCACCGGCUAACUCUGUGCCAGCAGCCGCGGUAAUACAGAGGGUGCAAGCGUUAAUCGGAAUUACUGGGCGUAAAGCGCACGUAGGCGGUUGUUUAAGUUGGAUGUGAAAGCCCCGGGCUCAACCUGGGAAUUGCAUUCAAAACUGGACAACUAGAGUGUGUGAGAGGGGGGUAGAAUUCCAAGUGUAGCGGUGAAAUGCGUAGAGAUUUGGAGGAAUACCAGUGGCGAAGGCGGCCCCCUGGCACAACACUGACGCUCAGGUGCGAAAGCGUGGGGAGCAAACAGG